UACGUAGGGGGCGAGCGUUGUCCGGAUUUACUGGGCGUAAGGCGCGCGUAGGCGGAAGCGUAAGUGUGGCCUGAAAGCCCCCGGCUCAACCGGGGAGGGUGGCUGCAAACUGCGCUUCUUGAGGGCGAUAGAGGAGUGUGGAAUUCCUGGUGUAGCGGUGAAAUGCGCAGAUAUCGGGAGGAACACCGAUGGCGAAGGCA
rnacentral:rRNA from 1 species